CUGACGGAGGUGGGGGGUGCUCAAACUUACGUCCAGGCAGGCCAAGCUAAGAACCACACUGACCCACAUGACCCUCAGAUGAACCGCGCUUCGUUGCAGCGCGGUUCCAUCCUCAUUGACCGUUCAUACAAACCCUGAAAGUUUUCAACGAGACCCUUAUCUAUGAAGGAAGAAGAGGAGGAAAGGGUGGGAGCGGAUGGUGUGAGAAAUGGUGG
rnacentral:lncRNA from 1 species